AAGUGUUCAUGGGAAGUCUGGUGUAACAUCAGAGACAAGAAGGCUGUGAGGAUGUGAGAAUGGACAUGAAGCACCUGGAACAUUCUGGAACAUUCCUUACAAAUCCUGGUGAGUAAACAGCUAACACAAGUUACUGUAAUAAUGACUCUGUCUGCCUGCACACACAACUUUAUAGUGUGUGAGUUACUGUUCUGAAUCCUGUCACAGCCGAGCUCCAGAGCUAACGAUAGCUAGCAACAGGCCAGUCCUGGGGUUCAGUGUGAUUUAGCUUGUUUGUUCCAACCACCAAACUGCUCAGCUAAAGCGCGUUUAAUACAGACACUUAAACUCUGGUGUAAAAGGAGAGAUUUAACACCGAGCAGCAGCGCGUGCAUGUCCGGGUUUCUCGGUGUAACCGGCGGCGGUUGUGCCGCAAUAUUUGAAUUUCUCCCGCCAAAUGCGGUGAUUUUGUGCAGCCUACCGCCACUGUGGAGAGGAUAUAAAACUAACAUGUUUAAAUAAUUACCGCAUGUGUAACAUUACACACCUCACACACUGAACCGCGAGUCUGCUCGGUCACUCCGACACUUUAAGGAAGAAACUCAGAACAAAUCCGGUUUAAACAGCAGAAAUGAGCACCAACACCACUAAUGAAGAGAAGUUGAAUAGAGAUAAAACAGGAGGUGCCAGCAUUAUGGGAUGGCGGUGUAAACUAUGUGCAUUUGUCGCAUCAUCAAAAGGAAUUUCGAUCAUUAUCGAGUGAAGCAUGGUGCUGUUGGCGAUGGAUAUUUAGUGUCCUGUGUUCAUUUAGACGGUCAUUGCUUCUUUGAGGCGGUCAAUUGAACAUUUAAACAUUCUUCCCAGUUAAAACUGCUAACUCAGCAUAAAAUCAUCCUAAACUCCAGGAUUUACACCAGAUGAAUGAUACAUUACUAUGAUUUCUUUUUUCAGUUAAAUUAUUCUAUAAGUAGAGUAAGCAUCAACUAUUAACUCGACUUUAGUUCUGCUGCCAUGUUGAGGAACAUAAACAUUUCUCUGAUUGAUUUGUGAUGUCAUGAACAACUUUUAGGUUUGUUCUUAUCUUGAUUGGUAAUGAUAUGCAGAAGGAUUUACAUUUACACAACAUGUUAAAGGUAAGUAAGGAGGCCUGGUCAUGUGACAAGGAAUUGAAUUAUUAUAAUGAGCCCAGGUCACAUGACCACGCACGGCCGUUAAAAACCUUUGUGAAAAAGUUGCCUAUUACACAAUAUACAAAUCUAUCUACAGAUAGAAAGUAAACAUUUGAAUUAAACAUUCAGCCAUUUAAAAAAUUCAACAUUGAUUUUAAGGUAAAACAUAAGCUGAAAUAUCUUUAAAUCCAUCCACACAUUAAACAAAGUAAAUGUAUGUGUGUGUUUUUAAAAGUCUUCACACUACAGCACAAUGAUGAUCAUUUAAUUCCAUAACUUCGGAUGUUUGUGUCCAUCAGGAUGUAUCGCUAAAGAAUCAAAUCAUUAAUACAAGUUGUAACGCGUCAUCUACAGAAUACAUAAUAUUCAUUAGUCAAUUAGGCACCACUUGAUGGCGCUAUGUACAUCAUUUACUUACAGUAGGUGUCUCAGCUGUGUCUCAUUCUAACAGACUAUCAGUUGUUCAAACUGGAACAUGUUUGCUAACACAUCAGUUAUAAAAAUGUAUUUUUUUAACGUAAUAAUUACAAUAUGUGUUUUGUCUUUCCCUUAAAACUUUGUUUUAUGUAGUCAAUCUGUCUCCACCGUUCACAAUUUUUCUAAUACAAAAUGGGUGUUCAAGUCGAAGUGAGACUUUUACUCCAAAUCCCUAUAUUUCUCUAUAUAAUCUCCUGCUACAUCAAUGCACCUUUCCCAGCGCUUCACUGAUGCUUAGACACCAUCAAAGUCAUGAUUGAAACGCUGGCCUCCCAGGAACUCCUUAGCAACCGAAACAUCUUCAAACGGCGUGGGUGAUGUUAAUGAAUGCUUGUGUGCACAGUUCCCACAGCAAUAUGCAUCUCUUCCACAAGUUGGCAGCAUUGGUUUUCAAGGAUCAGGUGUUCCAAUCACUCAUCGUUCACAGGAAUGACUGCAGUGGGCUUUGAGUUACCUUGGGCAGGAUCGUUAUUCACAGACAUACAGUAUAAAGUAUUUGCAUCAUUCAAAUGUUUUACUGCAGCUGUGAGUCUCAUCAUCCUUAAGUACUGUGCUUAAGGACGUCUUUAAAUGUCAACCCUUUUAGGUUUUAAUUCACUAGAAAGUUAUAUGUACAGUAUAUGUGUCUCUGUGAAAGCAGCAUGGAAGGGUUAAAUACACAGUUGAUCUGUUAGUUUCUCUUUCUACCAUCGCUGUGGUUGUUGUCAGGACCUGUGUCUCAGAUUGUGUUCCACGAGUUUUGUCAUCCUAUAGAUGAAAAAUGAAGAUGUUCCCCUUCAAAGACAUUGAAGGGGAACUGGUUAAGGUUAGAAUGCCCCUUAAGAAUGUGACUUGAAAUAGUCUCUGAUGUCACCAUGUCACUUCACAUCAUGCUGCUUAAUGCCAAUUACAGUAUGUUGGUAAAAGUAAGUAUAAUCCUGGCCUAACACAGUUUUGUAAUGACUUGUUCUCUGAUGCUUGUGGCAAGGUUCGCCCCUUGAAAGCAUUUAAACUGUUCCUGGAACUGUGUUUAAGGAAAUUAAAUCAAUCUCGUUUUUUUGGGUCAUUCAAUAAAAAUUCCUAAAAAAGUUAAUGGGGUUCUUGAUAAGGUUCCAACAGCAGAAGCAUGCACCAUGACAGGCCAGUGAUACUGUAUGUUCUUGUUGCGUAUGUAAGAAUGCCUUGAAAGAAGUACAGCAAAUAGGAAGCACAGUAAUCGGCUUAACUACUGAGGACCUGAUGAUUGUCUUAUCAUUCUUCAUCUAAAAACAAAAAGCUGUACAAAAGUGUGUGUUCUGGUUUCUACACCAAAAGGUUUAGAUUUUCUCAUCCCUGCAUGGCAAGUGUAUGUGUGUGUUUAGGUAAAAACGGAGUGGCUUAGGGAAUGCUUGUUGAUUGGCUGGACAUAUUCAGGGACAGGGGAUUAAAGGAUUUUCAGCACACAGAGAGAGAGAGAGAGCGCAAGUGAGGAGGGACAAGAGGAACAAUUCGGUUCUGAAAGCACGUUGUAGAAACUGCCUUAGAAGAGGACGAAAGGACAAAGCAAGAGAAGACAAUGGGACAUGUGAUCUAGAGACUUUUGGAUGCCAAGAAUGAAUGAUAAGAAGGAAGGAGACAGAUGGGAAACUGAUAGACAAAGAAAAACAGAUUUGCCACUGAACUCUAACCUUUAAUCUGAUCCUUUCAAGACAAAAACAGUAGAGUGUGCAGGUAGAUGUUAGCAAUUAAAGUGUGAACAUUAGCAUCUCACUUUGCAUGUGUGUAUUUGUGGUGCGUGUGUGUGUUGUG